rnacentral:rRNA from 1 species
GUGGGGAAUAUUGGGCAAUGGGCGAAAGCCUGACCCAGCAACGCCGCGUGAGGGAAGAAGGUUUUCGGAUUGUAAACCUCUGUCCUUGGUGACGAACACAAUGACGGUAGCCAAGGAGGAAGCCCCGGCUAACUACGUGCCAGCAGCCGCGGUAAUACGUAGGGGGCAAGCGUUGUCCGGAAUGACUGGGCGUAAAGGGCGUGUAGGCGGCCGAUUAAGUCUGGAGUGAAAGUCCUGCUUUCAAGGUGGGAAUUGCUUUGGAGACUGGUUGGCUUGAGUGCGGAAGAGGCAAGUGGAAUUCCCAGUGUAGCGGUGAAAUGCGUAGAGAUUGGGAGGAACACCAGUGGCGAAGGCGACUUGCUGGGCCGUAACUGACGCUGAGGCGCGAAAGCGUGGGGAGCGAACAGGAUUAGAAACCCGAGUAGUCC